rnacentral:lncRNA from 1 species
UUGACACUGCUAUCUCUUAGGAUUUUAUCAUUAUUUUGAUAGGGAAAAAGAGCUAACCUUCUUUAAAAUGUCUUUUUAAAGGGGUUGCCUAAUUUUCCGGUUGUUUUUUAAGCAAAUGAAAUUUUAAUUGAUUUAGCUGCUACUAUAAAAAUAAAAGAGGGGUUUGUAAAGAAAUGAUUAUGUAGUAUAUGGAUGAUGAACCUUUAAGCAAAUGAAAUUUUAAUUGAUUUAGCUGCUACUCUAUAAAAAUAAAAGAGGGGUUUGUAAAGAAAUGAUUAUGUAGUAUAUGGAUGAUGAACCAAAAAGGUGUAAGAGAAUGAAAUUUUAUUAUUCUGGAAUUCAUCUUUUAUGCAUUUUCUAAAACCAAUAAAUUUUAUCUUUAUUUAUUAAUCAAAAUUGGCUUGGAUAUUUGGAUAUAUAUACAUACAUACAUACUAUUAGCUUACUAUUGGUUUCUUUUAACCAAAUUUAUCAAAGGUUGAAGUAGCUAUUUUUAGAGAAAUUUUCAUUUUAUUUUUUAUUUUAAAAAUAUAAUAUUGUAACGGUAACAUUUGAACUGGCUGAACUAAGUUCAAAUUUAGGGACCGCAUGUCCUCCAUCCAACAAGGGGCUCUGCCAAUUUAGAUUAUCAAGUUGUAUUUGUUGCAAGCAACUAGAUUGAUGAGUCACUUUUGACAAAAUUCAAAUUAUCGAAUUAAAAAGUAUAGAUUUUGUGUUUGGUAAAUAUACUAUGAU